CGCCUGUCUUUCAGCUUCCUGUAAUCCAUCGACGACCUGGUGGAAAUCAAACACUGAGGAGGGAAAAUAAGUUCACAGAAAGUACAAAAAAAACAACAAGAAAAACAAAUCCAGCGCCAUACGCACCAAGGCCAGGCAAAUGUAUGACCACGCCGUUACCUACAAGAUCAGAGAGAAGAUAUCAAAGAGUUGACACGAAACACAUUUGCGAAAUGACUUCAUCUUCAAGCAGACAUCCAGAACUCAGACUCUGAUCCGACUGAAAAGAUGUGCGAGCCGCACACAAGACAUACCCUCUCAUAUUAUGACUGACGGGCACACACUUAUGCAACCA